rnacentral:rRNA from 1 species
UGGGGAAUAUUGGACAAUGGGCGAAAGCCUGAUCCAGCCAUGCCGCGUGUGUGAAGAAGGCCUUUUGGUUGUAAAGCACUUUAAGCGAGGAGGAGGCUACUUAGAUUAAUACUCUAGGAUAGUGGACGUUACUCGCAGAAUAAGCACCGGCUAACUCUGUGCCAGCAGCCGCGGUAAUACAGAGGGUGCGAGCGUUAAUCGGAUUUACUGGGCGUAAAGCGUGCGUAGGCGGCUUUUUAAGUCGGAUGUGAAAUCCCUGAGCUUAACUUAGGAAUUGCAUUCGAUACUGGGAAGCUAGAGUAUGUGAGAGGAUGGUAGACUUCCAGGUGUAGCGGUGAAAUGCGUAGAGAUCUGGAGGAAUACCGAUGGCGAAGGCAGCCCUCUGGCCUAAUACUGACGCUGAGGUACGAAAGCAUGGGGAGCAAACAGG